AGUCAUAAGACUUGGCAGCAGUCCUGGGCGCCAUCUUGGGGCCUCGGCCACACCCGCUCCUCACAAAAGGCUGGUGAUAAAUAUGAAUGAUUGUGGUUUGGAUAUGCUUUUCCAGAAAGUGGCACCAUUUGGAGGUGUGGCCUUGUUGGAGGAAGUGUGUCACUAUGGGGAUGGGCUUUAAGACCCUCAUCCUAGCUACCUGCAAGCCAGUCUUUUCCUAACAGCCUUCAGAACAAGAGGUGGGACUCUCAGCUCCUCCUGCACCAUGUCUUCCUAAACACUGCCAUGAUCCUGCCUUGAUGAUAAUGGACUACACCUCUGAACCUAGAAGCCAUCUCCAAUUGAAUGUUGUCCUUAUAAGAGUUACCUUGGUCUUGGUGUCUGUUCACAGCAGUAAAACCCUAAGACAGCUACUUAUCAGUCCAUGAGCUCUGAGAGGAAGACUCGAUGAAGACAUCCCAUUUAGGACUGAGUGCUCCAAGAUUUCUUACUCUCUGCAAACUUUCCAGUCUCUGUGUUAAGUCCCAUCUACUAUAAGAAGCUUCUCUGAUGAUGGCUGAGCGAGGUCCUGAUCUACAGCUACAGCAGAAUGCCACUAGUAAUCCUUGUAUUCUUUUUACCAUUAGAGCUGUAGUAUUUGGUUUCCUCCUAGGGCUGUGGCCUACCUAGUGUUUCAUAGCCACCUCAUCAAUGUCAAUCAGUUCUGAGAUUCAUCUCAUUGAGUUGCUUUUAAAUCCAAUUCAAUAAAUGGUUGGUUGCGCCCACAUUUGUGCCAGUGUUGCCUCAGGCUAUCUCCCAAGCAGGUCACUGUUGUAGGCUGCAGGGUUUACUGCUGGGUUGAUGAUUCCUUUCUCGUCUGGUAGCAUGCCGAGUACCUUCUAAUCCUAUAAUCACUAGUCAGUAAGGGUGAAGGCUCAAACUAGGUACCAGCUUGACUUCUCCAUGUUUAAUUGGAUAUGUAAAGUUUUGACUUCAGCAGAGGGACCUUAUUGUCAGUUGUGGAAAGCAACCAAUCAUCUUGGAAAUAACCUGUGAUGUUUGGGGUUUUGGCCAGUUACCCAACUAAAUGUAACCUAUUUCUGAUACUGGAGAUCUCAUUUGGUGAAAAAUGUCAAAUUGGGGUAUUAUCUCCCCCAUUAUUUUAAUGAUCCCAAUUAUAAUGUAUAUAUAAAGUUUCUUCACUAGCAAGUUUCCAUAUAGCUCCCCAAAUGGCCCUUAGUGUUAGUUGCCCCUCCCAUAGCCCCUCUUUAACCCUCUCCUCAAUUUCCCCCAUCCCCCACUUAAUCUCUGCUCCAGUCUCUUCAUAACAAUAUAUUCUAUUUCCCCUUUCACGGGUGAUCCCUUUUCUUCCCCAUAGACUUUUACUAAUUUCCCAACCUCUGUUUAUCCAGAUUGUAGCAAUCAUAAUAAAGUCUUAAAAGCUAAAGUUAAUAUAUGAGGGAAAA